rnacentral:rRNA from 1 species
GACGAACGCUGGCGGCGUGCUUAACACAUGCAAGUCGAGCGGUAAGGCCCUUUCGGGGGUACACGAGCGGCGAACGGGUGAGUAACACGUGGGUGACCUGCCCUCAGCUCUGGGAUAAGCCUGGGAAACCGGGUCUAAUACUGGAUAUGACUCCAUGACGCAUGUUGUGGGGUGGAAAGCCUUGUGCGGCUGAGGAUGGGCCCGCGGCCUAUCAGCUUGUUGGUGGGGUGAUGGCCUACCAAGGCGACGACGGGUAGCCGGCCUGAGAGGGCGACCGGCCACACUGGGACUGAGACACGGCCCAGACUCCUACGGGAGGCAGCAGUGGGGAAUCUUGCGCAAUGGGCGAAAGCCUGACGCGGCGACGCCGCGUGAGGGAUGACGGCCU